rnacentral:rRNA from 1 species
UGAUGCGAUCAUACCAGCACUAACGCACCGGA